rfam:Salmo salar isolate Sally breed double haploid chromosome ssa22, whole genome shotgun sequence.
GCAAAGGUUCUUUUUAGAACCAUACCGUUUUUUUUUAUUCUGGUUU